rnacentral:lncRNA from 1 species
ACAACCCUUUAAAAGCCCCAAAUUCACCCCAAAAUGGCCCCAAAACAACCCAUAAGGGCCCCAAAAUACCCAAAAAAGCCCUAAACGACCCCAAAAAGCCCUAAAUAACCCUUAAAAUGCCCCAAAUGACCCCAAAAAAGCCCCAAAUGGGGGUCCCUAUAGGUCAGAUGGGGGUCCCCUAUGUGACAUGGGGGGGGGUCCCAUAUGUUAAAUGGGGGGGGGUCCCAUAUGUUAAAUGGGGGGGGGGGCUUUGUUAAGCCCCGCCCCUUCGUUAAGCCCCGCCCCUCCGUUAAGCCCCGCCCCCAUCCCGCUGCAGUGAACUCGGGGGUUCCCUGCUGUAAAUCCCUAUAGGAAGGUCAGGAACGACCCAUAGGGACCCAUAGAGACCCAUAGAGACCCCAUAGAGACCCCAUAGGGACACAUAGGGACCCAUAGAGACCCCAUAGAGACACAUAGAGACCCAUAGAGACCCAUAGAGACCCAUAGAGACCCAUAGGGACCCAUAGGGACCCAUAGGGACCCAUAAGGACCCCAUAGAGACCUGUAGAGACCCCAUAGAGAUCCCAUAGAGACCCAUAGAGCCCCCUAGAGACCCAUAGAGACCCUUAGAGACCCAUAGGGACCCAUAGAGACCCAUAAGGACCCCAUAGAGACCUGUAGAGACCCAUAGAGACCCCAUAGGGACCCAUAGAGACACAUAGAGACACAUAGGGACCCAUGGGGACCCCAUAACCCCAUAGGGACCCCAUAGCAACCCACUGAGACCCAUAGUGACCCAUAGGGACCCAUAGAGACCCAUAGGGACCCAUAGAGACACAUAGUGACCCCAUAGAGACCCACUGAGACCCAUAGUGACCCCAUAGAGACCCAUAGGGACCCAUAAGGACCCCAUAGGGACCCAUAGAGACCCAUAAAGACCCCAUAGAGACCCAUAGAGAGGGACCCACAGAGACCCCAUAAAGACCCACAGCGACCCCAUAGAAUGAAAUCUCCCGUUAUCCCCCAUUCUCAUCUAUGCCCAUUGACAAACCCCAUAGAAACCCCACACCGCCCCAUAGAAACCCCAUAGAAACCCCACACCGCCCCAUAGAAACCCCACCCAAACCACACACCGCCCCAUAGAAACCCCAUAGAAACCCCACACCGCCCCAUAGAGACCCCAUAGAUCCUAAGAGAGAGAUUCCCACAUCCCCCCUACCUCCAAUGUCCCCAAUGUCCCCCCCUGUCCCCGAUAAGCCCCCAUGCCCCAUUUAGAUCCUCAUGUCCCCAAUGUCCCCAUAC